UGUGUGUGUGUGUCCAACAGUGAAGGAGUUCCUGGCUAAAGCCAAAGAGGACUUUCUCAAGAAGUGGGAGAACCCUGAACAGUGUGACAUCACAGCAGCAAGAUUUGUGACCUGUUGCCACAAGAAAAGGGCAACCAGUGAAGAACACACACCAUUAACACAGCGAGUCUGGAUCAGUUUGAGCGGUUGAAAACUCUGGGUACGGGUUCGUUUGGCCGCGUCAUGCUGGUCAAGCACAAAGAGAC